GUUAGUUUAACUCCAAUACGCAGCGUAGUCGUCCAAAUGCUUCUUCCCCGCCCCCUGCUCCCGGGAGCGCUCAUCUGGCCAGGACAGGCGCGCCCAGGUCUCAGGAGCUCACGAGAUGUGACAGCCAAAGUCCCCGCCUCGCGGGCCUCGGGGCGCACAGCGCGUUCCCGCCCGCCUGGCCAGGGGGAGUUUGCCUUCGGAGUCGGCCCGGCCAGCGGGAGUGGGGGAGGAGUGGGACCCGGUCCUGCGAUCCCCCAACCACUCCGCGAGCCGGCGCUAGGUCGGGGCACCCCUGCGGUGCUCGCUCCGCAGCAGCAGCGCGGUCUUGGAGCCCCAGCAACAGCACCACUCCGCCGAAAAAGGAAAGAAAGGAACCGAGAAUCGCCCUCUCUCUUCUUUUAGUUCGAAAACUUCCGAGCAGCGCGCCUGCCUCCCACGGCCCGGAGCCCUCUCGCCAGCACCCCGGUCCCCCGGGUCUCCCCGCCGCGCUGGACCGCGAGGCCGAGCUCCCCCGACCCCCAGGCCGACCGAGCGGCGUCCAGACCUCGACCUCAACGCGCAUCCCGCAAGCCAAGACCCCGCCCGCGGGCCAUCGACUGAGCCUCUCGCGGCCCCCCGCUCACCUCGUCCACCUCGAGGCGCCGACGGGAUUUCUGCCAAUCGGCGAGCGCCCUGCGGGGAACAACCUUCUCUUCAGCCAAUCGGCGGCGAGGCCAGGUACUGGGUCAGCCGAGACCCUGCUCCGCCUGGGAGUCCGAAAACCUUUGGGAUCUCUGACGCUUGUCUCCAUCUGGGACAUCCUGUUUGCUUUGCACCCUUAUUAAGCAGGUUUUUCUCUGCCCGAGGCAGACAGCCAAGGAGAAUGAGAAAGAAUGCAAACACUACUUGCUAAACAGAUGCGCGUAUCUCCUGGAAAAAUGUUACAAGCCCGCAGUAUCUUGUUUGUUUAACCAUAAACGUGUUUCGGCGCAUUUUCACAGCUUGUAACAAGCCUUAGAAGCCAGAGGCAGUUCUAAGAACAGUUUAGAAUCCAGGUAGCCGAGAACCAGAGAAAUUCGAUGUAGUGUAACCCACCUACAGUUAAUGAAUGGAAAUCUGUGUGUAGACAAAGCCUACAAAGUUCCUAAAGAGUUCUGACAGCCCUUGCAAAUAACCACCUGAAGCCCAAAUAUAGUUUACCGAAGAGAUUAUGGUCCUCCUGUGUUUGCAACUUUAUCCAGCACUUACACUUUUCUCAUACCCACUCUGAUGUGCUUAUCUAUGGAAUGGUCCUGUCACCAAACACUUCAGCACUUGAAACUUGGGAUUUUUCUCUGUAUCAUUUGCUUCACAUAGCUAUCAAAAUCCUAAUCAUUCUUCACAAGGCUUCCUGUUUUUUAUAGAAGGCUGUGCAGGUCUCUCAUACACUGUGACUGCACAGGGCCAGGCGGCUAGGCUUGCAAUCCACAAAUAAUUUAGGUCACCCUUGGACCUUCUGCCGCCUCACGGCGCCUAAUUCAGCCAUCACCAAGAAUCAAGUUCUCACAGAAUCUUGCUUCUGGUGCUUUGUGUCUCAGACAAAGAAGAUAAAGAAGUCAACAGGCAAAAUCCUCUGCUAUGAGCAGGUGUUUUAAGAAUUUCCCCUCCAUACCCUGUAAUACUUUUAUUCCCUUGAAUGGUUUUAUACUAUGGUGUUGUGUUUGAUACUCCAGUGUAUGAAGGUAUACUCAAAUAUUUCAAGGAAGGAGACACUAUGGUAGCUACUGUUAUGUUGGGUUGUCUGGUGGUGAAACACUAUGUUGCUUAAAUUGUUCUGUUCUAAUCUGUUUUGUUAUGUCCUCUUUUAUCUUAAUCUUUUUAAAAUAAAAAAUUAGAAAAUAAAAAGAAAGAAAUUCCCCUCUGUUGUAAAACUUUGGUUCCUGGCAGUAUGAAGACUCCCACAGUGGCAACCAUAGCACACACUGAAUGCCAGGAUCUGACCGUGGUAGGGUCACCUUCCUCAUGCUUCGCCAAAAAAACUCCUUUGCAGUGCCAAAAUCAGUAAAUAAAUCCACGAAGCCUUCUCUUCAUCCAGUGUUUCCCGGCUCUUUUAUUACAUCAUACCUUCCUUCUCACUCUUCACCAACUGAAAGCCUGCUUGCUUCAGUUCUUUGUCU
ensembl:lincRNA